rnacentral:rRNA from 1 species
AGCAGCCGCGGUAAUUCCAGCUCCAAUAGCGUAUAUUAAAGUUGUUGCAGUUAAAAAGCUCGUAGUUGAAUUUCGGGGUCAGUAGGUUGGUCAUGCCACUGGUAUGUACUGGUCUUACUGAUUCCUCCUUCCUGAUGAACUGUAAUGCCAUUAAUUUGGUGUUGCAGGGAAUCUGGACUGUUACUUUGAAAAAAUUAGAGUGUUUAAAGCAGGCUAACGCCUGAAUACAUUAGCAUGGAAUAAUGAAAUAGGACGUUCGAUCCUAUUUUGUUGGUUUCUAGGAUUGACGUAAUGAUUAAUAGGGAUAGUUGGGGGCAUUAGUAUUCAAUUGUCAGAGGUGAAAUUCUUGGAUUUAUUGAAGACUAACUACUGCGAAAGCAUUUGCCAAGGAUGUUUUCUAUUAAUCAAGAACGAAAGUUAGGGGAUCGAAGACGAUCAGAUACCGUCGUA